UACGUAGGGGGCAAGCGUUAUCCGGAAUUACUGGGUGUAAAGGGAGCGUAGGUGGCAAGGCAAGUCAGAUGUGAAAACCCGGGGCCCAACCCCGGGAGUGCAUUUGAAACUGUCUGGCUAGAGUGCAGGAGAGGUAAGUGGAAUUCCUAGUGUAGCGGUGAAAUGCAUAGAGAUUAGGAAGAACACCAGUGGCGAAGGCGAUUCUCUGGACUGUAACUGACGCUGAGGCUCGAAAGCGUGGGGAGCAAACAGG
rnacentral:rRNA from 1 species